GAUGAACGCUAGCUACAGGCUUAACACAUGCAAGUCGAGGGGAAACGAUAUUGGAAGCUUGCUUCCGAUAGGCGUCGACCGGCGCACGGGUGAGUAACGCGUAUCCAACCUGCCCAUCACUUGGGGAUAACCUUGCGAAAGUAAGACUAAUACCCAAUGAUAUCCGUCGAAGACAUCUGGAGGAGAUUAAAGAUUCAUCGGUGAUGGAUGGGGAUGCGUCUGAUUAGCUUGUUGGCGGGGUAACGGCCCACCAAGGCGACGAUCAGUAGGGGUUCUGAGAGGAAGGGCCCCCACAUUGGAACUGAGACACGGUCCAAACUCCUACGGGAGGCAGCAGUGAGGAAUAUUGGUCAAUGGGCGAGAGCCUGAACCAGCCAAGUAGCGUGCAGGAUGACGGCCCUAUGGGUUGUAAACUGCUUUUAUAAGGGAAUAAAGUGAGUCUCGUGAGACUUUUUGCAUGUACCUUAUGAAUAAGGACCGGCUAAUUCCGUGCCAGCCGCCGCAGUAA
rnacentral:rRNA from 1 species